CGAGCACUGGCCAGCGCGCAGCUGGCUGGACCCGCGGGGCCGGCAGCUCCCGGGCUGGGAGGGGCGCCGAGAGCCGGACAGAUUGCAGGCCGGGGAGCAGGAGGACGGGCUCGGAACCGGACCCGGCGGCCCGGAGAAGUCAUCCGGAACCGUGAGUCUGAAAGCUUCUCCAAGCAGCUUCUUCCUAUGCCCAGAUCCGCUGUGCCCUGACUUCUCACCUGCUCAGAAAGAUGGAGUCGGUAUCCUUGGAGGACGUGGCC